GGAUACAUCUACCUGGAGUCUUGAAUUUAACAGGCACAUUCCAAGAAAGCCUAUGAAGUUGGUGUUUUCCAAAAAAGAGGAUGCCCCACUCAUAGCUGAUAAAGCAGGAGAUGUCCACAGAAUUUAUUUGAAAGAUGAAAAAGUUGAACAUCUUAUUGGUCAUUUAUCAGUUAUCCUAGAUAUGGUGAGUAAAAAAUGUUACUCUAUUAAACAAUGUCUCCCAAGAACAAUGUUUUACUUUUCUCCCAAGAAAAACCUGGGGAAGAACUCCUUUGCAUUACUUUAACAAUUGUACUUGACACAUACUGCUAUAACUGCAUUGCUUGCAUGUUCGAAAUCUGGAAACACUCUAUUUUUAUAUGACAAUUUAAAAUGGAGUAAAACACCACAAAACAAUGAAUUUACAAAGCAUUGUGGUGUUUGAAUAUUUCAUAUAGCAUUCCAUGUGUAUACAUUCUGUCUUGUGUAAUAUAAUUUAUGAUACUGCUCUGGCUAAGUUUGUUCAAGUUACAAACAAGAUUUUAAGGAAAUUAUUAGUUGUAGACAUAAACUAACACAAGAAUAAGGUUUAAAAGACCUAGAGGAACACAUUUAUGUAUAUUUUAUUCUAAGAUAUUCUGUUGCUUUCACAUACCCUUCCAUAUAUAUAGCUUUCCAUUUAGCAUUCUAUUCCAUCAUUCUACCACUCCAUGUUUUAUAAUUUUACUGCACUAUACACCUCAUUUGUUUUUAUAAACAAACAAAAAUGUCCCCCUCGCUUAUUUCAUUUUUGUGAAUUUCUAAACCUCUGCUUAUUAAGACCCC